rnacentral:ncRNA from 2 species
GGCUAUAAGGAACUGUUCGGUUCCAGCGGAGAUCAGCUGCUGGAGGUAACGGGGAAAGAUCGGUGAAAAUCCGGCGCUGUCCCGCAGCUGUGAAGCGAUUCCAUCGGUCACUCCGCCCGAUCGUCGUCAGUCAGAACGCCCGCCGACUUGUUCAUCGACGA